rnacentral:rRNA from 1 species
GAGUUUGAUCGUGGCUCAGAUUGAACGCUGGCGGCAUGCCUUACACAUGCAAGUCGAGCGGCAGCGCGGGGGCAACCCUGGCGGCGAGCGGCGAACGGGUGAGUAAUACAUCGGAACGUGUCCAGUUGUGGGGGAUAACCAGUCGAAAGACUGGCUAAUACCGCAUACGAUCUACGGAUAGAAAGCGGGGGAUCGCAAGACCUCGCGCUAUUGGAGCGGCCGAUGUCCGAUUAGCUAGUUGGACGGGGUAAAGCCCACCAAGGCGACGAUCGGUAGCUGGUCUGAGAGGAUGAUCAGCCACACUGGAACUGAGACACGGUCCAGACUCCUACGGGAGGCAGCAGUGGGGAAUUUUGGACAAUGGGCGCAAGCCUGAUCCAGCCAUGCCGCGUGAGUGAAGAAGGCCUCGGUUG